UGUGCAUGGGGGUGGGUGACGAUUCAGCGCUUCCCCUCCCUGCCCCGGAACAAUACGAGACGCGAGGUGGCGAUGGGACAAAGAGGAUCCCCUGCCCCCCACCCCGAAAAGGAGAGUGGGGGAAGCAAAAAAUAGCCUGGAAAUAUCGGGAACGCGACGCCACUGCCUCUAUUAUAUUAUUAUUUUGUGCAGCUUUUCUCCCACCCCCGGGGGAAGUUUCUGGGUGCAGAUCAAGAGAGAGAAGGGGAGUGGGGGAAGUGCACCGAAGUCCAAAGGUCCUCGCUGCCCCCCUGCAAAGUUUCAAAGUGGUUUUAAAUUCGCAGAGCAAAGGCUGCAAAGUGUCUGCUCGCAGCUCCAAGCACUUCCAGCUCCUCCGGGAGCAGCGAUGCCGGGUUUCAAUCCGAAUUAGACGCAGCUCUCUCCGGGCACACGCGGCGGGGAGACGCCGCGGGAUGCGGGGAUGCGCCGGGGCGCGGCCCCAGGUAAGUCCCUGCCGCUGCUCCCGCUUGCGGGGUAGCCCCCACCCCCGUGCAGCCGCAGCCCCCGGGUCGCCUUCAUCUGCCUCCUGAAGUUGGCAAUUCCUCGUGCCGUGGGGAUGGAUGGUCCUGGCUGGGCUGGGUGAGGCAGAGCGGGCUUGGGGAUGCGCAGGGAAGGCAGCAACUUUCUGGGGGCAGUGGGAUCCCGUGGGGAUGUCUGAAAGCGGGGAGAGAAAACUUUAAACGUGGAGGAAAAAAUGUGGCAGGGGGCCAGCCUGCAAGGGGCUGCUUGGGGUGUCCCCCCGCAAUGCCCCUUACCCCCUGGUCAGGAGUGAGGGGCACUGGUGAGGACUGCCCAGCCCUGAUGACAAAUGGUGUAAAAAAAAAACCCCCAUGGGGAGCCCCUGAUUUAGGUGAGAGGCACAGCCGCUCCCCAAAGGGCCUGUAGUUUUUAUUUUUUUCUCUCUCUCUUUCCUAUGGCUGACUUGGAGCAACAAUUUUAAGUCCAGUUUAAGGUUGGUUAAGCAGUCUAAUGCUCUUGAGGAAAGGGGAUGUCCCUUGGCAAGGUCACCCUCAAGUUGGUGUGGAGGGCAGAGUGCUGUUAUGAGGUCCACGGUUUGAUCACAGUCACGUUCUGCAGGACUCCUAAUUCGCCAUCUGUGCAUCAAGUGACGGCAGCCGCCAUGCCAGGGGUGGUAGUGAGGACCUGUAAGGCAGCUCUUCAAACAAAAAUAUUCCAGGAUAUUGGGGGGGAGGCAGGGGGAUGCUUCCCCUUCUCCCAUCUAAGCUGAGUUCACGAAAGCUUAUGUUCUUAUAUAGUUUAUAUAGUUAGCCUAUAAGGUGCAUAUCUACUCUGCCUCUUUCUCAAAGCCACAUUCAGCUGCUCUGGAUAUCUUCCCUCUUCACCCCUGCCCCCAACUUUUCUUUGUUGCUUUAUUAAUAAAGCACUUGAAGUAGUAAAAUCAAUUGAUAGUGUCUCUUUCUUUUUUUUUUUCCUUCUCAAAGGUAAAUCUCCUUUGGAACAGUAAGUGGAUAAGAACAGUUUAUUACUAAUUAUUACCCAGCUUUCCAUCUUGGUACCUUUACAGCCAGGUGGAUUCAGUUUUAAUUUAAGUGGAGGUGGAUGUAUUGGGUGGUUUCAGUUACAAAUUAGGAGAAUGGAGAGAACAAGUUAUGGUUUCUUGAUUGAUAUGGGUUUUCGAAAUGCAUUUAUGUGCUUGUGCGCAUGCGUGUGUGACAUAUAUAUAUAUGUCUGUGUUGAGUGUGUGUUGUGUGUAUGUAUGUGUAUACAUAUAUGCAUGUGUGUAUUUAUACAUGCAUAUGUGUGUAUAUAUAUAUAUAUGCAUGUGUGUAUUUAUACAUGCAUGUGUGUGUGUAUAUACACGCGUAUAUAUAUUAUACAUGGGUUCAACAUGGACAUGGGUUCAACACCAUAUAUGCACGUGUGUAUUUAUACAUGCAUAUAUAUGUGUGUGUAUACAUGUGUGUAUAUAUGGGUAUAUGUGAGUGUGUGUAUAUAUGUGCAUCUAUGUGUAUACACACUCACACACAUUAAAUACAGUGAUCCUCAAAUUAGUCUUUGGGAAAAGUCCGUUUUUUCUAGGACUGUUUUUAAACCUUUUAAAACAUGAUGCUGCAGAGGUUUGGUUUUGGUUUUUUUUUUUGUAAGCCAGCAGCCUUUAGAGAUAUGUAAAAGGAUGUUCUGUAUGAAUUUUGACUGAAAAAAAAAUUGAACCCCAGCUACAGGCAAAUAAAUGCAUGAAAAAACUCAACUCCUGAAGCACUCAAACUGGUGUUUUCUUUCCAAAUUGCUAUUCCAGGCACGUAACACCCAGCCCAAGGAUGCUGCAUCCAAGAAAUAUUAAUCUAAAUUACUAUUAAUAAGGGACAGCUACAAGUUAAUUGGUAUUAAAAUAAUUCAUUUCAAUUUGUUAAUAUUAAAUGAACAGAGAGCACUUUUGCUUAAAACGCACUCUUGUUCUGUCUUUCCUGCUAGCUGAAAAAAAAAAAUUCUCUGCAAAGAGACUUUUCCUAGCAAUGGAGAUUUUAUUUGGGGUUUGGUUUGAGUGCCCCCCAGCUCCCCCUGUGCCCCAUCAGAAAACCCCUGGGUCUGAUGAUGGCAGAGCACAUUUCCCAAACUCACCUGAACGACUAGAAACCGGAGCAGAAUUUGAGGUGGGCCCCUGUGUUUCUAGAGGUUAGUGGCGGGAUGCGAUCAAGCCACCGUCCCAUUCAAUCUCCCCCAAAACUUCUCCCAGUCUCCAAGGAGAAUUUCCUUGUCUCAUCCUCUGAGUCACCUCUUUUCCUGGCAUGGGACAUGGGUUCAACACCAUCAAUGACUGCAUGCCACGUUUAGAUGACUUUUCGACCACUUGAAAGUCUAAUAAAAUAUUUAAGCCAUGUAUCCUGCUAUUGAUUUUAUGUAAAAAUGUUCGGCUGGUGGAAUUCAUUAGGUCCAAGUUCUCCCCCGUCUUCAGUUGCCCCGUUCCCCAUCUGUUUACUUCCCGUGGAGCCAAACAGAGAGCGGCAUUUUGAUUAAUAUUUACAGGGUUCUGUCUCUUUAAUUCAUUCAGCAGCACUCUCCUUUUGCUUGUCAACUGAAAUCUGGAUGCAGAUGGCACCUAGGAAAGCUAGCACAAGCAGGGGAGGCGGGGGGCGGGAUAAAAAGAGUCUUUGUGGCAAGGACGUGAAUAAAAUAAGUGUCUGUAGAGCACUCAGGGCCUCAGUGGCUGGACUGGAGAAGUUGUUCAGACAGGCCUGUUCCAAGCCAAGACACGUGGCUUUUUGGAUCCAGCCGCGCCACAUACGUAUUAAUAUCUGCUGUGCCAAGGAAGAGGCUGGACGCACGCUGGUCCAAUGGUUUGUCCUGGUCAGGCCUCUAUGUAGCUCGCUGGUACCUGGACUCCAUCCAUCCGCACUGUCUUCCUCGACUGCAAAUACAAGGUGCCGUUUCAUCCUGGCUUCUGCCUGAAUUUAUUGCACGGUGGAUGUGUUUGCAGCACAGAGAGGGAGCAGGGAAAGAGGAAUAGCAAGGUGCCAGGAUCCGCCAUUAACAUCGGCUCCCAGGAGGAUUCCAAAUAUUUAAAUUGCUAAUCAACUAAGAGCUGUCACCUCCCAGCCCCAUGUUUGUCUUUGCAUAAAGAAGGGUGGAAAAAAAAAAUCCGCUAACAAGAAAAAAGAAAGCAAGGUAGAGAUUUCCCCCAGCACUUCGAGUGGGACCUCUGCCACCGUCAUCAUGGCCAAGGAUACGUGGAAGGUGUGGGCCUUUAAGAAGCUGGGUGGGUUUCCCCUGACGUCUUUUGCAAAACCAGCCUCGUUGCACUGCAAGCCAUGAAAUAUAUGCUUUCUGCCAAAUUAAUAGACGCUUAAAAUCUAGUUAGGCUGCCAUUUUUCACGAAACGGGAGCCUUUCAUUCUUGAACCGAAGACACAUUCAUCACUGUUUGCAUGUAAGACCCCAACCACGCUCUUUAAUAUUAAAGUUCAAUAUUUUAUUAGGAGUUGGGGGCUGGGGAAGAAACCGGAAUGGAUUCGCAGAGACACAUCGGUGUUUUGCAGUAGAUAAUGUGCCAACCAGCUGACUCGUCGAGGGGAACGUGGCUGCUGCUCUAUAGUUCUCCUUUUAAAGUAAAAAGCUGGAGACAGUCCUGGCUUCCACCCAACCUCAUGGAUUUUGUCUACACUGAAAAGUUGUUUCCAAAGUGAGGAAGUCAUAUGGACCCAAGGUCUUGCGACUGGUGGAGCUUCCCCUACAUUAAGGGUGCUUCCACAGCCUCCGAGUACCCAGCAUAAUCUGAUUUGAGCUUUGCCUGAAAGAAGAAGGCAGUGCCUGAAGCUCUCUCCCCCGUGUUGGGGUAGAAGGAUGAUGUGCCGUGUCCAGCGCGGCGAUCUGAUUGUCUGCUGGCGCAUGGAGGCACAGGAAGAUGCUGGUGGAAAACACAAUGCGGCAUUGACAAGCAGGGAGGAAGUGGAACAGAUGCCUAGAGAAGUUGUGGACUCUCCAUCACUGGAGACGUCAGGAAGAAGUUGGACAACCACUGGUCGGGGGUGAUAUAUCUGUGCUCUACUGUGGGUAUUUCCCAGGCUUCUGGGCUUUGCUGGUUGCCCCCUCCUCUUUUUUCUCCUCCAUUUGUGUGGGUGUUUUAAAGCCUUCUUCAGAGGCAUUGGCUGCAGCAAAGGCUAGGGAUUUUGGGUGGAUGCUCCCGCUGGGACCAAAGCCAGAGAGGUUCCUGGCUGGAGGGUCUUACCCUUUUGCUCAGGAUCAGACUGAUCACAGUAUCUGAGGUCAGGAAGGAAUUAUAUGGUAAGGACUGCAGGGGUUUUGACUUCCUCUGCAGAGGCGGCCGGGUGGGUAUGGCCCCCUGCCUAGGCUCUCUUGAGCAUAUGUUAACACCCUUUUUUUUUAGAAGCACAUCUGGGAAGUCAGCGCCAGGUAUGCAUGCUUUCCCGAUGUGAAGGCAAAAGUAUUCUCCUUUGAAAAAUACCCUGAACUGAAGAGGAAGAAAAAAAAAAAAACCCUUUGCAGAAUUCAGAGUGCAAAUGCAGAUGGAGAGCAUUGUGCGCCUUUUGAAAACGUGCUUUCUGUUUAUUUUAGAUCAGAGCAGCUUUCCACAAAACCUCAGAUGGAACAAGCCCAGACGCUGACCUCGGGCUAAACGCGGGAUGUUUUUCAAGUGCAGGAAAGAAUUUCUCUUAUUUAUUUCUUUUGAACGUUGCAAACAGAAAGAAUGCGAGAGAGGAAAGAGCCAGGGGAACAUGUAGCAAUGAAAAAACCUGUUCUGUUGUGGUUGGGAGCGAUCAGUAAACUCUGAAUCCCCUUCUGUAUCUGCUCCCGGAGCUCGGGUUGUAUAAAGAUACAGACUCCUUCUGCCUCCGCCAAUAAAAUAUAGUACCCAGAGAUGGGGGUGGUGGGGGGUGGAAAAUGCUAUAAAUUUCCAGUAUUUAUACAAGAAGAUGAAGUGUAUGGCAGGCCAAAAGGCGCACACAGUAAUGCGUUUUACAUAGCGCCAUAAUAUCCCCUUUGUGUUUGGAAGGCUCUCCAUUGCGAUCUGGAUUCCCUUUGGUGCACUUUGUCAGCUGGCCUUUUUAUUUAUUUAUUUUAGGCUGGAAAGUUUGGACGACAAAAUAUGGAGUCAGUUGGAUCUAGCCAAAGUCUGCUAUUUCUUUCUUUCUUUUUUUUUUUCCCUCCCUUCCUCUGCAUUUUAUUAUUAUAGCAGCUUUGAGAAAUGUGUCUUGGUAGGAGCAUUGGUGUAUUAAUACUUUCCACCUGCUUUGCACAAUGCUAUUUUAGGGGUGUGUGCGUGUGUGUGCAUGUGUGUGUGUGUAAGUGUUGCCAACUCAAAUGAUUUUGUUGAAAGUCCUGUGCUUUUUGGUGGAGUGUUUCUUUUUUUCCCCCGCCAACUCCCCCAUUGCCUGAACACCUGGAGUGAUGUGACUAUCUGAGAAUCCCCGCUCUCAUUAAAAAAAAAGAAAAACAAGAAAUGUCUAUCUCCCUGGUCACAAAGAAAACCUUGAAAACAAGCCCAAAGGCUCAAAGAAGAAAAAAAAAAAACCCCAGAAGGCAAAUAAAAACAGAGCUCAGAAGACUCCAGAAUGGAGCAUUUUAAAAAAAAUAAUCCCAUGAUUUUAAACCAACCUUGUGAUUCUGGAGCAGCGGGUGAUGCCAAUAUUUACAGGGCACUGAAAUGUAUGGCAACCUACAACUUCAAGAGCCACCUUCUCUUUUAUCCGUGCCCAUCUUUGACACUAAAUACAGCUGUUCACAAUCCAUUUGUAGCACCUAGCAGUUUGCAUGUAGCAGACAGGCCUGGUCUGAAGCAGCUCACGGUAUAAAAGCAAAACUUUGGAGAAGUGUAUUGUACAAUAGCUGGGAAUGAAACUCAGCUCCGGGCUCCUGGCCUCCUCACUGGACUAUGUUGCCUUUCCAAAUAACCAUCAUGGGAUUAUAUAGGCAACUCCCCGAGUUUUUGACUCUGACUGCUUACUCUGGCAAGCUUCCACUUGAAAUCAGUGGGAGUUUGCUGUGAGUCAACACUGAGAAGAAGCAGAGGAAAGGCGCUGUCAUUUGAAAGGCAAAGCCCUAAUCGCGGGAAGCAACCGGAGAAGAAAUGGUCUUGCUGCACUGCACUGCACAAACCUUUAUUGACAGGAGACAAAGUAGGGAGGUUUUAAGAUUUAGCCUAUUCAGAUAAGAUACCCAGGGUCUUAAAGGAAGGCACAUCAGCUGCUUGUCAGUAAUGUCACAUAUAGGGUUGCCAACUCUUCCGGGAGGUUUCCGACAUGCCCAUGACACGCAAUGCAAACGUGCCCGCAUGCUGCAUGUAUCAGUUAUGGAUUACAGUGCAUCGACUUUACAUCAGGGAGGCAAAUGCACAUUACUAUUACAUUUUAAAACCCCCCUGGAUUACUGUAUAAAUCGGAUUCAACAUUUCAUAUUUAUUUUAAUGAAUGCUCUAUCAUUUUUCUCCCGGGGGGGUGUCCUGGAGAUUUAUAUCUAAUUCCUGGAGACUCCAGGGCAAUUCUGAAGGGUUCGCAACUCUAAUCACAUAUCCCAGAUCUUUCCCUGUGAGGCAGCUUUCAAUGAGGGCCAAGCUACCUUGCAUUUACUGGGAGUAACUGUGUGCACACAGGCAGUUAUCAGGCAAUAGUGGAUGCACUGUCAUUUCACCCCUUACCGGUGGUAAUUUGUUCCUGUAGCCACGCUCUCCGGCACCUAAAACAGGGCUGAAGUGGACUUUAGAUGCCUAAGUGCAGACUUCUGAUACCAAAUCUCUCUGCUCAGCAGCUGUCUGCAUCUCAAGGCAAUGCAAAAAACAAGUGCCAAAGUCUCCUGGGAGGUCUGGUCCAGAAGGUGUGGCCUGAACCUGCCUAAUGUCUGCGGACAGAUUGGGGCCUUUGCAAACGUGGUUGCAAUUUGGGGCCGUCUUCUCCCUGAGGGAACUCAAACCUGCAUCUCUCCGGGAUGCCGGAGUGAGGCUGGAGACCUGUAUUAUGCAUGAAACAGAAACCAGGAAUAAUACAGAGACUGGAAUCCAGAACUUCCUCCCCCUUGUUAGGUGCCCAAACCCCCUAGGCUGCUGCGCCAGGUCCCCUCCCUUGCACGUUCUCCUUCUGGUCCCAUGAAUUUUGCAUUGCUUCCUGCAGCGUGGCACAGCUAUGACGGGCAGGGUGGAGAAUGUCUCCAUCCAGCCCAGCUUCAUAGGGCCGGUAAAGAGCUGGGCUGGGUGGAGACAGAGAGAGAGCUGGUAAAGGCUCUCUCCUGGGAGACGUAGCUUUGAAACCCCUUCUGAGGCAGGAAUGAAGCCCAGCUCUCCCACCCGGACCAGUGCUCGUUACCCAGUUUUAAAGGAACUCGGUUCGUUGGAAGAGGAGCUGUCGACCUGUAGAUUCUGGGCUCUGGAUCUCGAGAGAUUCCUCCUUCAGUUGUGGAGGAGGGUUGGAGUUCAGACACAACUCUCUGCUACCUCUACACACCUUCCCCUUCCCCUUGCUGGACCUUGAAGCACUUAAACGGGUAGACGUCUCAGUGACAUGUAGCUCAGGGUGACCACCUCAAUUCAGUGGAAGGGCUGGGAAAGGACCCAGGAGUCCUGAUGCGGGCUGCCAGCAAGACGAUAACAGAAAAGGCUGGAAGGUGGGUAGAGUGGGGUCUUAAAGAGACUUUGUUGUGAGAUAAGGUCAAGCUAUUAAGUGGAUCCCAAAUGAACUUUAGCAUGUGUUAGAUUUGGAAGGGGAAAACCUAAUCCUUUUUGAAGCCAGUGGGAAUUCUCCCCUGUGCUUAAAGUUUCAAUGCAUCUGCUUAAAUACUUUGCUACAUCAGGGCUUUCAGCAAGAAAUCUCCCCUUGUCUUUCCAGUUGAAGGUGGUCUGUGCCUAGAGACGUCUGGCUGCAAGACCCCAAGUUAUAUAUAAUUUUUUUUUUCAAAGCCAUUAGAAUACACAGCAGAAAACCCUUGGUGCAGAAAUUCUUGGAUGUACAGAGCGCACACACUCCAAGCUAUGGUCUGUUAGAAAAAACAACACAGGGACGUUUUCCUAUUACAAUAAUCAGUCAAACGUUACCGCGCGAGGCAGUAAUAUCCAUUCCCACCUACAUGAGCCGGGACUCGGCUGGGCACGCCGCAGAUGUAUGCUCCGUGAAAAGAGCCACAGCAUUCAGAGAAAGGAAAUCAAACUGCACAUUAAGAGGUUGUCGCAAGGGACAUCAGGAAAAAGAGAAAUGCAGGCGUAUAUUUAACUCAGGCGAAGGCCAUCAUUUGAAGCCACACACAUUCAAGACAUGGAAAAUACAGGCUAAAGCCCAUUCCCUAAUUACAGACAAGCUUAGCUCAAGUAUAGCUUUAUCGUUUAAGUUAGAGUUUUACUAAUUUAAUGUUUGUUGAGGAUGGGAUCCCUGAGGGGUGUUAACAGGCCUCCUGCUAAUCUAGACGAUGCUAGGGUGGGAGUUCAAGUCAAGCUGCAGCUCCUGUGAAUGUUUAUCUAGGGCAGUAAUUCUUAGUCAGGGGGUUGUGAGAUCCAUUGAAGGGUGCUGUGGGGUACCAUGCAAUAUUGGCACAGCUAAGGGUGCCAAUGCCUACACAGGAUAAACCCAGAGAUGAUACCCACAGGAUAAACCCAGAAAUGCCCGUAGGCAUUUGUAGCAACCAAGCCAUUUUGUCCGGUUUGGUCAUGCUGAGUUCUUUGAACAGAAGAAGUGCUCUGUUAUUUUUCUGUGGUCAAAAAACAACAAAAAAAGUGAAAGAGCUGGAAAUUUUCUGAAGGCUUUGGGUCUAAUGAGGGGGGGAGCCUUGAGUCCAAAAGGAUUGAGAAUCACUGAUCUACAAAGGUCAUGUUCACUGGACAAAAUAAUGGAUCAGGAGUCUGGAAACUUGGGUUUUAUUCCUAGCUCUGACUUCCUGGGUGAGAGCCUUUAUGCCAAAGCACUCACUGUGCAAACGGAUGCAGCAAUACACACACAAAGGAGGACAAGCUGAGGCCCAGACAGGGGAAGCAGGAUGCGCAGAACAGGCCCAGCCUUGAGAUCAACCAGCUGUGCGGAAAGGGAGAUGCCGUCACUCCCGUCUUCUCGCACUUUGUGAGGAAGAUCUGGGGUAGAUGCUCUCCAGUCAAGAGCUCGGGGCUCUGAAUCUUGAUCCGAGGGAGGCCUGUCCAGCCCAGAGGGCUGUUUGUGCAAGGUGACAAUGAAAUCUCAGAGCGAGAUGUCGUUUUGAAUGGAACCGUGGAAAUGUGGCAUUUGGAAAAGUUUCCAGGAUCCUGCUAUACCUUGGUGUCCUGGAGCAAUGAACCCUCUAGUCCAGUGGAUAUCAUUUGCAGGCCCCUAAAAAAACUCAAAUGGAGAUGCGGACCCCUUUGGAAAUUUCGAGUGGAGGUGCAGUCCCCUUUGAAUUGGAAGGAAAAUAUUUCUCUUGGAAAUGCCGACCCAGAUUUGAUUCCCGAUCUCAACAUUUGCUACAGCUUCACGUGAACGGGGCUGUUUGACAAUUGAUUUCAAUGCAUAGGAAUCAUUUAGGAACCUGCGAUAAACCGUGUAUUUUCUUACAUAUGCCGUGCCUCCAAAAAAAUAAACUUUGGAAAAAAACCCGCAAAAAGGUUUUGAAAGGCAGAAUGAAAAAAAAAAGAUCUUUCCUUGAAAGCCUCUUCCACGGAGAAAAGGGAAUGGGUUCACAGCCAGCACCUAGGGAUACCUUCUUGCAGCACCUGCAGCUUGAUUUUACUUUCCCCUGAUGGAGUUUAAGUCGCAGAAACUGCUUGUACUGUAUUUUCUCAUUUAUCCUGUGCACUCUUAUUUCCCACAGCUGAAUUUCAGGAAACACAUACUUGUUGUACACAAGAAAAUAUGGUAAGACACGUCGGCUUUCAUGGUGCAUGCUAUAACUGAUAUUUAAUUUUACAAAUUUGAAAGAGAAAAAAAUUUUCCUUUUUUUUUUCAACAUAUAGCCCCUUCCAGCAUUCACUUUCUGAGCACCAAGGGGUGUAUGCCUUCUUUUUGCUGCCCUGUUCUGGUCCUAUGGUAGAGCCCAGGGUGGCAGAAAGCAUCUCUAAGGGGUAGCUACUCUGCCUCCCUGUGUAUGUGGGUGGGGGCAACAAAAAGCUCCCUUCUCCACCCUCUGUGCCAGGCAGCAUGGCUGUGCCAGUGAAGGGUGCCCUAGGUAUGGGGCAGGAUGUGUCUCAAAUAGAGCAGGUUGGAAGAGGUGCUGACUUCCAAUGGGUUUCUCGGUCUGCUCCUCGGGUUUCUUGCCAACGCGCCCUCUCAUCCCCUCGGCCUAACGACAAAAGCCAUGCUCGAGCCCGUAAUUUAAGGCGGAUGCUUUCGAUUUCCAUCAGGCUUUCCCGAAAGACUUUCCUCUUUGUGAUGAAUGAACUUUUAAUGGAGAAGAAUAGGCCGCCUUGUUUUAAGUGAAACGUUUAUAAGGAAGCCGAUGAUUUAAACAACUUUAGCUCCAUUAAACAAAAGAGGAAACUGGAUCUUAAACCCUCAUUUAUUUUGAGGAGAGUCUGGCCUGGGAUAAACAUGACAUUAAGUAGCCAUCUGAGCAUUGCUAAAACAUACAUUUGCCUUAGUAAUAAAAUGUUUUUGAGAGAUA